rnacentral:lncRNA from 1 species
UAGGUUCGUUUUUAAGAGCGGUGUUGAUAAGAGACGUGAAGCCUCGGAUCUUCGAGAACAGAUGUCAGCGAUUUCCAGAGGGAAAUCUGUAGGAAAAAAGAUUCCAAGAAAACUCUGCGGAGCAGAGAUCGGUAAGACCAUAAUAGACAUAGGAACCUCGGCAUGGGGAUCCAAAGGGAUUAAAAAAAUGGCAAAAUGGAGAACAAGACUGCGGGAUCCAAAGAUGACCAAGUGAACAAAAACGCCAGCGAAGAAAACGCUUCUUCUGGAGGUGAACUCCCUGCUGUCUAUGAAACGACCUCC